rnacentral:rRNA from 1 species
GACGAACGCUGGCGCGUGCCUAAUACAUGCAAGUCGAGCGAAGUUUUUCUGGUGCUUGCACUAGAAAAACUUAGCGGCGAACGGGUGAGUAACACGUAAAGAACCUGCCUCAUAGACUGGGACAACUAUUGGAAACGAUAGCUAAUACCGGAUAACCAGCAUUAACUGCAUGGUUGAUGUUUGAAAGUUGGUUAUGCUAAACACUAUGAGAUGGCUUUGCGGUGCAUUAGCUAGUUGGUGGGGUAAAAGGCCCACCAAGGCGACGAUGCAUAGCCGACCUGAGAGGGUGAUCGGCCACACUGGGACUGAGACACGGCCCAGACUCCUACGGGAGGCAGCAGUAGGGAAUCUUCCGCAAUGGGCGAAAGCCCUGACGGAGCAACGCCGCGUGAGUGAAGAAGGAUUUCGGUUCGUAAAGCUCUGUUGUUAGGGAAGAAUGGAUAUGUAGUAACUAUACAUGUACGAAGA